UUGGUUAUGCACGCGACUGCUGUCGCCUCAGGCGACAGAGGAAAGUCGGGGCACUCAGGUCGCCUUAGGCGACCAAAGGUAGCAGGUAACGCCUGCCGGUGGUAACACAGAGGUGCGAUCAGUGACGUUCCGAUCCGCAAGGGUUGGAAAGGCCCCGUCUCAAGCUUGAUGGCCUAAUCCGGUUAUAGAGACAAAAAGACCGGAGUGAAACGGCAAAACCCUUACCCGAGUGCAAGGCCGUGGUCGCCUUUGGCGACAGUGCCGCUAGAGGUGGCGAGCGAUCGCCAUCCCAGAGAAAUAGUUGCGUCAUCCGCGUAAAGCGAAUGAGACAGAACCCCGCUUACGCAUAACCGAUCAA
rnacentral:RNase_P_RNA from 1 species